CCUACGGGAGGCUGCAGUGAGGAAUAUUGGUCAAUGGCCGCAAGUCUGAACCAGCCAUGCCGCGUGCAGGAAGACGGCCCUAUGAGUUGUAAACUGCUUUUGUACGAGGGCAAACGCCAAUUCGCGUAUCUGUCUGAAAGUAUCGUACGAAUAAGCAUCGGCUAACUCCGUGCCAGCAGCCGCGGUAAUACGGAGGAUGCAAGCGUUAUCCGGAUUUAUUGGGUUUAAAGGGUGCGUAGGCGGGCGGAUAAGUUAGAGGUGAAAUCCCGAGGCUCAACUUCGGAAUUGCCUCUGAUACUGUUCGGCUAGAGAGUAGUGGCGGUAGGCGGAAUGUAUGGUGUAGCGGUGAAAUGCUUAGAUAUCGCGCAGAACCCCGAUUGCGAAGGCAGCGUACCGGCGCCACACUGACGCUGAGGCACGAAAGCGUGGGUAUCGAACAGGAUUAGAUACCCGAGUAGUC
rnacentral:rRNA from 1 species